rnacentral:rRNA from 1 species
UACGGAGGGUGCAAGCGUUAUCCGGAUUUAUUGGGCGUAAAGCGUCCGCAGGUGGUUGUUCAAGUCUGCUGUUAAAGCGCGAGGCUUAACCUUGUACAGGCAGUGGAAACUGAGCGACUAGAGUAUGGUAGGGGUAGCGGGAAUUCCCAGUGUAGCGGUGAAAUGCGUAGAUAUUGGGAAGAACACCAGCGGCGAAAGCGCGCUACUGGGCCAUUACUGACACUCAUGGACGAAAGCUAGGGGAGCGAAAGGG